rnacentral:tRNA from 1 species
CAAAGAAUAGUUUAAGAAAAAUAAUAAUUUUGGAGAUUAUUGAUAAUAGGUUUAUUUUCUUUGA